UCCUGGUUAGCUCAUCUUGGUAGAGCAUGCGACUUUUAAUCGCAGGGCGCUGGGAUCGAGGCCCAGGUCGGGAG
rfam:Pseudocohnilembus persalinus scaffold1430, whole genome shotgun sequence.